GAGUUUGAUCAUGGCUCAGAUUGAACGCUGGCGGUAGGCUUAACACAUGCAAGUCGUGCGAGAUAGUAUCUUCUGAUGUGAGUAGAGCGGCUGACGGGUGAGUAUCUCGUAUGAGUCCUGCUAGUAGAAGGGGAUAGCCCGGGGAAACCCGGAUUAAUACCUCAUGCCUCCUUCUGGAGCAAAGAAUGCCUCUCUUUGAAGCUUUCUCUACUGUAUGAGCCUGCAUGAGAUUACCUUGUUGGUGAGGUUAAGGCUCUCCAAGGCGACAAUCUUUACCUGGUCUGAGAGGACGAUCCGCCACUUUGGGACUGAGACACGGUCCAGACUCCUGCGGGAGGCAGCAAUGUGUAAUAUUGCACUAUGGGCGCAAGCCUGAUCCACCCAUACCGCGUGUGUUAUUAAGGCCUUCGGGUUGUUGAGUGCUUUCAGCAGGGAGAGAAAGUUAUAAGUUCAUGCCUUAUAACCCUGAUGUUACCUGCGAAAUAAGCACCGGCUAAUUCCGUGCCAUCAGCCACGUUAAUACUGAAUGUGCAAGCGUUAAUCGAAAUUACUGAGCUUAAAUCGCGCGCUGGUGGUUUGUCUUUUUGGAUGUGAAUGCCCUGGGCUCAACCUAUGAACUGCUGUCCAGACUAACUCGCUAGAGUUCGAUAGAGGGAGGUAUAGUUCAUGCUGUAUCGGUGGAAUGCCUAGAUAUGAUGAACAAUACCAGUGGCUAACGCGGACUCCUGGAUCUGUACUGACACUGAGGUGCGAAAGCGUGUGUAGCGAACAGGAUCAGAUACCCUGAUAGUGCUCGCUGUAAACGAUGACACACUAGCUGUUGGGAGACUAUGUCUUUCAGUGGAGCAGCUAACGCUUUAAGUAGUCAACCUGGGGAGUACGGCCCCAAGGAUAAAACUCAACAUGAAUUGACGGGGACCCGCACAAGCGGUGGAGCAUGUGGUUUAAUUAGAUGCAACGCGAAAAACCUUACCUACUCUUGACAUACUCGGAGGCUCUCGUAAUGAGAGUGUGCUUUUGGGAAGCAAGAUACAGGUUCUGCAUGGCAGUGGUCAGCUCGUGUAGUGAGAUGUUCAGUUAAGUUGGAUAAAGAGUGCAACCCUUACCGUUAUUAGCCAGAGAUUCGGUCGGGAACUAUAAGGGGACUGCCGGUGAUAAACCGGAGGAAGGUGAGGUAGACGUCAAGUCAUCAUGGCCCUUACGAGUAGGUCUACACCCGUGCUGCAAUGGGAGAUACAGACGGACGAUAAGCCGUGAGGUGGUGUUAAUCCUAAAAAGUCUUUCGUAGUCGGGAUGGGAGUGUGCAUCUAGACUCCAUGAAGUGGGAAUCGCUAGUAAUCGGGGAUCAGCAUGCCGCGGUGAAUAUUGUUCUGGGGUCUUGUACACACCGCCUGUCACCCCAUGGAAGUGGUUUGCACCAGAAGUAGAUAGUCUAACCUUAGGGAGGACGUUUACCACGGUGUGCUUCAUGACUGGGGUGAAGUCGUAACAAGGUAACC
rnacentral:rRNA from 1 species